rnacentral:rRNA from 1 species
AGUAAUACAUCGGAACGUGUCUUCUAGUGGGGGAUAACUGCCCGAAAGGGCAGCUAAUACCGCAUGAGACCUGAGGGUGAAAGCGGGGGAGUCGCAAGACCUCGCGCUGGAGGAGCGGCCGAUGUCCGAUUAGCUAGUUGGUGAGGUAAAGGCUCACCAAGGCGACGAUCGGUAGCUGGUCUGAGAGGACGACCAGCCACACUGGGACUGAGACACGGCCCAG